CACGUAGGGCGCAAGCGUUGUCCGGAAUUACUGGGCGUAAAGAGCUCGUAGGUGGUUUGUCGCGUUGUUCGUGAAAACUCACAGCUUAACUGUGGGCGUGCGGGCGAUACGGGCAGACUGGAGUACUGCAGGGGAGACUGGAAUUCCUGGUGUAGCGGUGGAAUGCGCAGAUAUCAGGAGGAACACCGGUGGCGAAGGCGGGUCUCUGGGCAGUAACUGACGCUGAGGAGCGAAAUCGUGGGGAGCGAACAGG
rnacentral:rRNA from 1 species